ensembl:lncRNA
CUGACGAAGGGAGUUUGCUAGCAGGCACCUCACUGGAAGAAAUACCUUAAUAGGAAGAGAACAAAAAGAUUUUAAAAACAGAAGGAAACAGAAUGUAAUAUUUUAGAGGUGCUUUUCUGCUCAACUGCUGAAGAGGCAUGAAGAGCACUGCAUUAAGUAGCGCAAGCCUAAUGACAGAGACUUAUAGGAGCUCAUUUAGUCAUGCUGCAUAUCAUUCAAAGAUCAUUAUAUGUUUUCAAGUCCAACAGAAAUCAUCAAAAUGUCAAGCUGAAAUUCAGCACUCUGCAAAUGCUGACCAAAGUCCUGCCCAAGGAGCAGCGGAUGCAGUAGAUUGUGCUGACUCAGUGAAGUCAUAGGUCUUGAGUAUCUUCAGCACCUCUGUUGUUUGAACUGGGUGGCCUCCCUUGAUGAACUCAAAGCAUUGUGAAAAAUCAAGCUUGUCCCUCAUCCCUGAUCUGUGACUCCACAGUGUCUAUGCAUAUGCCUGAAUCUUGAUAUCUUUGCAGGAUGUCAGUUCACAGCAAGUUAGAUGUGCUCUAGUCAUCUAAGAAGAAGGUAUUACAUGUUCACUUACGUUCUUGUUGAGAUCAAGGAAGCCUUUUUGACGCUGGUUUGUGAAGAAUCAUGACUGAACACUUAUUUUCUUCUGUUGCCCAUUUCUUCUCAAGAUCUUCUUUCUUCAUGAGGUGACCUCAGUUUAUUUCACAGAAUCCAUGGAUACCUUGUGUAGGGACAAAAGCACUUCAUAUCUUUACAGAAAAUUGUAUCCUGAUGACGACCCUGUUCUCAUUAACUUUAAAUGAAGACCAAAUCGAAGGAGUGAGGCUGAUAUUGGACCAGUGAAGUGAGAUCACUAUGAUGAAAUUUGUCUCCUUGGUAAAAUUAGUCAGUUCAGCCAUUCACAGAAAAUAGCACUGUAAAUGAGUCUCUAAAGAGCAAUAAAAGAAGCAUGAGAGAAGAGAAAAAUAACGCUGUAUUUACAAUGUUUAUGCACACAUAGACAUUUACAAUCACUGUUUUGGGAAUAAGUAAAUAAUAAGUAUUGAUUUUGCCAGGUACCAUGUAAAGCUUGUACUUUGACUUCACUGUAGGCCUCACAAGAGAAAUUGGUUUUGGGAAGGCAGUUAAAGAGGAAAAGAAAAAUAGAUUUACAAGUUUUUAACAACCUUAAAGCAAGUCACUAAUUACAUUACCAUAGGUACUAACACUAAUUUCCUUCUGUGAUAGAAUCAUUAGCUUCAUUGAAGAGAUCUCCCUGUCCGCUAGGAUUAAGCUUGUCCCAGUGGUAAGAUCUAUGUGGAAUGACAGUACUACAGACAUUAGAGCAAGAUUUGCUCACUUUGCACAUGCAUGUCUUCAGAGCCAUCCUUGUCAGCAACCAAUGUGUACUCUGUAGUUAUCUGAAUUCAUCUUUCAGAUGACAGCAGUAGGACCCCUUUUCAAAUUGAACCAAUUUGUGUCUAAACACACAUUUUCUAAGUAGUAUUCACGCAGAAUACUGCCCAAACUUUCCUCAGAAGACGAACUGCUGUAUCAGUGCAAGCAGUGCAAGAAGUUCUGGAGAACAGAAAAAUCUGGAUGCAAAAUUUUGUUAAUAAAUAAAGACUAUUCUUGAGCACUUGUCCCUGAACAUGUAACAGAUCCAGUAAGUAAUAAGUUCUAAGAGAAGUGUAAGAGAUUGCUCUUAAAUGAUUUGCCAUUAGCAAAUAUCUGCAGUAUUUCACCAAAACCAACAAAUUUCAUGCCUCCAGAGAGAAAAGGCUGUUUAUUAUGCUAACAUCAAGUGUUGCAACACUCAACAUACACAUUGUUAAUGCAUAAACUGUAUUGUUUCAGCUGCAGCGUCCUCAUUCCCCACUAUUCCCUGUGUUGCUAUCAGCUUUCUUAAUUUGUUGUGUGAUGUGCAUUUCUUUUUAUCCUUUCUUAUUUUUUUCUGUGCAGUAAACAUUUGCAAAGCUAAAUAAGCAAGUAUGAUUGUGAUUUUAUUAAAAUAAGAAUAGAGUGAAACUAACACAUGGUAAUUAUCUAAGACAGAGGGACGUUUGCACGAUCUAUGUGUGUAAUUUCAAGAUGUGGUAUAUCUUCAUGACAGAACAUAAGAGAGAGAAAGAACUUCUGAGUUUUACACUUGUGUCCUUUUGCCAGUUUCCUAAAUAUUCUUGACCAACGUCUCUUUUGCAUUCUUUCUUAAGAAAUCAAUAAUAUAUUUUUACAAUCCCAUGGGAUUGUGGUGAGAAUUAUUUAUCAAGUACAUAGAUAAUUUCCAGCAAAUGAAAGCACUGCGGGUUGCUGUUCCUAUUACCUGUUCCUCACACUUUCUGUGACAGAACUGCUGACUGGAGCCUACUGAGCAUAUCACACUUUGCUGUGGGAACUGGUUACAUAUUUUUUGGACAAAUUGUAGGCUAUCAAAUGAUUAGAGAACAGAUAACUCCUUUUUUUUUUUUUUUUCUUCUUUCUUUUCCUUUCUAUUUUUUUUUCUUUUUUAAAAUUUAAUUGUGGCUUAAAUUUAAUGAUUUUAAUAUACAAAAUUUACCCUGUACCUCUUGCAGCCUCACUUGACUUGGAAGCAGGCUAAAAAGAACUGUCCUAAUGUGUAACUUCUAAAUGGCUUUGAUAGAAAUAAGAGUUAGAUGUUAAAACCAGAAAUAAAGGGAAUGUGAGUGCCUUUGCUAGGUAUCCUUAAGAGGCAAUUCUUUCUUGUUUGCAAACAUUUAGUCUGUGAUUAAAACACGGGAAGACUUUAUUAAUGGUUGAGGAAAACACAGUAACAUAAGUAAAUAAAUGAAAUAUCCACACCCAUCAUAUCUCUGGCAGCAGUUCUUUAGUUCACUUCCCUACCAAGCAGUGCCAAAAUCCAAGGAGCUAACAUCCUUUUAACUCUUUAUGUUCUCCUUUUUC